UGCAGGAUGAAGGUCCUAUGGAUUGUAAACUGCUUUUGUACGGGAAGAAACCCCUCCUCGUGAGGAGGGCUGACGGUACCGUAAGAAUAAGGAUCGGCUAACUCCGUGCCAGCAGCCGCGGUAAUACGGAGGAUCCGAGCGUUAUCCGGAAUCAUUGGGUUUAAAGGGUCCGUAGGUGGCCUUGUAAGUCAGUGGUGAAAUCUCACGGCUCAACCGUGAAAUGGCCAUUGAUACUGCGGGGCUUGAAUUAUCGGGAAGCAGCUAGAAUAUGUAGUGUAGCGGUGAAAUGCUUAGAUAUUACAUGGAAUACCGAUUGCGAAGGCAGGCUGCUACCGGUGGAUUGACGCUGAUGGACGAAAGCGUGGGGAGCGAACAGGAUUAGAUACCCUGGUAGUCCACGCCGUAAACGA
rnacentral:rRNA from 1 species